UAAACUAGGAGCCUCCCAGGUAGUU
rnacentral:piRNA from 1 species